GUGCAGCAGGCGCGAAAACUUUACAAUGCGGGAAACCGCGAUAAGGGGACACCGAGUGCCAGCAUAUUAUGUUGGCUGUCCACAUGUGUAAACAGCAUGUGUUAGCAAGGGCCGGGCAAGACCGGUGCCAGCCGCCGCGGUAACACCGGCGGCCCGAGUGGUAAUCACUUUUAUUGGGUCUAAAGGGUCCGUAGCCGGUUUGAUCAGUUCUUCGGGAAAUCUGACAGCUCAACUGUUAGGCUUCCGGGGAAUACUGUCAGACUUGGGACCGGGAGAGGUAAGAGGUACUACAGGGGUAGGAGUGAAAUCUUGUAAUCCCUGUGGGACCACCAGUGGCGAAGGCGUCUUACCAGAACGGGUCCGACGGUGAGGGACGAAAGCUGGGGGCACGAACCGGAUUAGAUACCCCUGUAGU
rnacentral:rRNA from 1 species